rnacentral:lncRNA from 1 species
GCGGGUAUGAGGGAGGCUAGCGGGGAGGGCCUUGCCCCAAGAGGCCCGGAGCGUGGACAGCGCACGGGGUGCUGAAUCAGGCACGGGGAGGAGGAGUGCCGGCAAGGGCGCCGGCCCGGGGAGGACGAGCAUUUCCAAUUAAUCUUGGAAUGAGAGCCGAGGGCAAGAAGCCAGCGGUGCCUGAGGGAUGCUAAAGAGCCAACCGAUCCAGGGAAACAAAUGCCAGCGAGGGACCCCACAGCAAAGAGACAGACACUGUGAGCAACUCUCCUGUUACCAUGAGGCUUGCGAGGCGUGUGUGCGGGUCUCCGCAUUGGCACCAUCUGCCAAUUCCUCAGGAGGACAGAACAAACCAGUGAGGCAUGAAGAUUAGAUUAUGUAACGCUCGAGGAUUGCUGUUUUCAAAGAGGAAACAAAUGGAAUGAAUUGAUUUGCUUGUCAAAGUCAUGUCACUAAAGGAGA